rnacentral:rRNA from 1 species
AGGUGUGAUCAUACCAGCGUUAAUGCACCGGAUCCCAUCAGAACUCUGCAGUUAAGUGUGCUUGGGCUAGAGUAGUACUGGGAUGGGUGACCUCUCAGGAAGUCCUAGUGUUGCACCCU